AACGCACCUUGCGCUCCUUGGUAUUCCUUGGAGCAUGCCUGUUUGAGAGUCUUGAAUAUCUCCUUUUCCUCGUUUUGUCAUAAAACGGUUUUUUGGAAUCGGGUACUUGGGCUUGCUUGCGGUUUGUUACUAGACACAAGCUUGCCUUAAAAGUAGUAGCUGGACUUCAGUAAGAGUUGUUAAGUAACAUUCGUAACUCUUUGAAAUAGUGAAGUCUGCCAUCUAACUCGUCUAUCUAGACAACUAUAUUUUAUCGGCCUCAAAUCAGGUAGGACUACCCGCUGAACUUAA
rnacentral:misc_RNA from 1 species